GCAGAUGUGGUGGAAUUGGUAGACACGCUAGCUUCAGGUGCUAGUGCUCUAACGGGCGUGGGAGUUCGAGUCUCCCCAUCUGCACCA
rnacentral:tRNA from 1 species